AGAGUUUGAUCCUGGCUCAGGACGAACGCUGGCGGUGUGCUUCACACGUGCAAGUCGAACGAGGUAGCAAUACCUAGUGGCGGACGGGUGAGUAACGCGUGGGAAUCUGCCUUUAGAUGGGGGAUAACGAGCCGAAAGGUUCGCUAAUACCGCAUAUGCCGCAAGGUGAAAGGAGUAAUCCGUCUAAAGAUGAGCCCGCGUCCGAUUAGCUAGUUGGUGGGGUAAAGGCCUACCAAGGCGACGAUCGGUAGCUGGUCUGAGAGGAUGAUCAGCCACAAUGGGACUGAGACACGGCCCAUACUCCUACGGGAGGCAGCAGUGGGGAAUUUUACGCAAUGGGGAAACCCUGACGUAGCGACACCGCGUGAGCGAAGAAGCCCCUUGGGGUGUAAAGCUCUGUCAGCUGGAACGAAACAAAUGACGGUACCAGCAGAGGAAGCAUCGGCUAACUACGUGCCAGCAGCCGCGGUAAGACGUAGGAUGCGAGCGUUGUCCGGAUUUAUUGGGCGUAAAGAGUUCGUAGGUGGUUUGUUAAGUUUGAUGUUAAAGAUCGGGGCUCAACCUCGGGACAGCAUUGAAUACUGGCAGACUUGAGUAUGGUAGAGGCUAGUGGAAUUCCCAGUGUAGCGGUGAAAUGCGUAGA
rnacentral:rRNA from 1 species